rnacentral:rRNA from 1 species
GAUGAACGCUGGCGGCGUGCUUAACACAUGCAAGUCGAACGAUGAAGCCCAGCUUGCUUGGUGGAUUAGUGGCGAACGGGUGAGUAACACGUGAGUAACCUGCCCUUAACUCUGGGAUAAACCUGGGAAACUGGGUCUAAUACCUGAUAGAAGCGUCCACCGCCUGCUGGGUGUUGUAAUGAUUUAUCGGUUUUGGAUGGACUCGCGGCUUAUCAGCUUGUUGGUGAGUUAUUGGCUCACCAAGGCGACGACGGGUAGCCGGCCUGAGAGGGUGAACGGCCACACGGGUACUGAGACACGCACCAGAAUCGUACCGGAGGCAGGAGUGGGGAACAUUGAACAAUGGGCGCAAGCCUGAUGCAGCGACGCCGCGUGAGGGAUGAUGGGUUUCGGGUUGUAAACAUCUUUGAGUAGGAAAGAAGCGAAAGUGACGGUACCUGAAGAAGAAGCACCGGCUAACUACGUG